GUGAUGCCGAGGGUUGUUCGCUGUGAGAAACCAGGGAAGCCGUUUUAACACACGGACGAUCGCUUCCCAGUGAGAAGUAGCUGGUCUUCCAGCCCCCCCACGAGAGAAACAGAUAGAAGAUGGAUGGACACAAGAAGACACCCACACAAAUAGAUGACUCCUAUUCCUCAUCGUCAGAAAGUGCCCCUGAGCUGUCCUGCAAUGUGGGCCAUAUUAUCAGGAACUGGGAGGUGAAGCUACUCUCCACUGUCUUAUAAUAGUAUAAACACAACCAGUGUGUGCUUAUAAGAAAGCGUGUUUUCUGUUUGCGUUACUGUGAUUGCAUACAUGUGCUCAGCCAGUCAUGCAUCAAUUGUUAAAUAAA